UACAGAGGUCCCAAGCGUUGUUCGGAUUCACUGGGCGUAAAGGGUGCGUAGGUGGUGAGGUAAGUCGGAUGUGAAAUCUCCGGGCUCAACCCGGAAAUGGCAUUGGAAACUACCUUGCUAGAGGAUUUGAGGGGGGGGAUUGGAAUACUUGGUGUAGCAGUGAAAUGCGUAGAUAUCAAGUGGAACACCAGUGGCGAAGG
rnacentral:rRNA from 1 species